UUCGGAUUUUCAUAUUUAAAUGUAUGCUUGUGAUUGUUGGUACCAAUGUUUUAACCAUCUUCACUUGUCAAAACGUCUAGAAGAACACAAUUAGGAAUAUACACGAUAUGUCUUUUAACCUGAUAUGACCAGUUUGUUGCAAGUUUUGAUAUUCUUUCUUUCCAAGGUAAUGAUAGUCCAUACUGUAUUUUCCAUUUGGUAAACAAGUCUUACACUAUUCGUUUUUUGUCCAAUAUAUAAAUAUUUCGUAUUUAUUUAGCAUGUACAGGUAGUAUCCAUUGUUGGCCAUCAUUAUUGUCCAAUAACUUGUUAGGUUACUGUACAUAUAAAGGUAUGUAAUAUCUUGACACACAAUGUUCCUG